UUUCCGGUUCCGCGCGGCAGUAGCGGCCGCGCAGCCCCGGCCAGAGCAGCCGCCAUUUCCAGCCCCCCGCGCUGCGGCCUGCUUGCCGGGGCUGGCGGCGGCAGGGUCCCGCCUGGCCUUGGCGCCUCGCUCGCUUCUCAGUCCCGCGGCGUCUCCCCUCCCCCUGCGGGGGAUCCUCUUCCUCUCCCUGAACUAGCCUGCGGGCAAGCCCGGGCCUCGCCCCCUCCCCACCAUGCGCCACAGCCUGACCCAGCUGCUGGCGGCCUCGUCGGGCGGAGAAAGCCCCUCGGCCGCCGCCUGGCAGCUCCCUAGCGCGGGGCCGGCCCCUGGGGCCGGAGGGGGCGAUGGCGGGGAGGAGGAGCCGGAGGGGCCCCGCACCAAGCAGCAGCGCUGGGACCCGGCCGUCCUGGAGCAGCCGCAGCAGGCGAUGGGGGAGGCGGCCGCUGGGGCCGAGGACCCGGCGGAGCAGGAGGACCCGUUUGCGGGGCUGGAGCUGGGCGACCUGCUGGAGGCGGCCCAGCCGCACUGGGACCUGGACGUAGAGCCGAGCGGCUGCUUCUGCGGGCAGCAGGACGAGCCGGAGCCGCCCCUGAGCGCGCCGGGCCGGAGGAGCUGCGGGGCCAGCCCGGGCGGGGUGGCGGCCGGGAGCCGGCUGAAGGCAGCGGCCGCGGCCCGCCUAAACCGGCUGAAGAAGAAGCAGUACGUGCUGGGGCUGGAGAGCCGCCUGCAGGGCCUGGCCGCUGAGAACCGGCAGCUGCGAGACCGCAACCGGGGGCUGAACCGGCGCCUGCGGGAUCUGGAGCGGGAGACCAGCUACCUGCGGGCCGUGCUGGCCAACCAGAGCGCCCUGGGGCAGCUGCUGAGCCGCCUGGCCGGGGCGGGGGGGCUCCGGUUCCGUACCAGCCUCUUCAGGGACACGGACCCGCCCCAUCAGCACCCGCCACAGGCCGGCGAGAGCCGCGACCACGACUACGCCCUGCCGAGCCAGGAUGCUGGGGAGCCGGAGGGGGAGGAGCGGCUGGCCUCCGGCGGGAUCUGCCUCCACGUGGACAGGGAUCAGCUGUCGGUGGAGUUCUGCUCCCUGUGUGCCAGGCGGGCAUGUGCCUCCUUCAAAAUUUUCUUUUUUAGGUGCUUGCCCUGCCAGGCUCCGUUGUGUAGGGGUUAAAGAACAGUCGUUUUCCACCUCGCAACCUGUGGAUACAGCUCUGUUGGGGCAGAAGAGACGGGACCAGCUGCUGGCCACAUUUCCUGCUUUAUUUUAAAAGCUUAGCAGCAUCUGGGGGAAAAACAAUUCAAUUUUUCUGCAACCUGUAACUGCCUGGAGAGAUGGUAUCAAAGUAAUUAUGGAGAGCCAUGUCACAAAUUUUGGCAUCUACUGAUGUAUCUGAGUUACCAAUUUUUUUUUUUUUUUUUUUUUUUUUUUUUUUUUUUUCCAAAAAUGGAGAGUCCUAGUGUUUCCUUUGAAAUUUUGAGGGACUUAUUUUUAAAAAAACAAAGGCUUUUCAUAUAAAACUUCCAUAAAAUUACCCAAUUUUAAAAACCUUGACUAAUAUGUUUUGGGAAUUGUAUAUUUGGAUAUGGUAUCUUCUGCAUGAAGGAAGGUAUUGUAAUACUUUGUAUGCAGCCUAUUAUACUUGCCUCUAUUAUUUAUUUAGACUUACAAAAGCCACAGUAGGUGUACAUCAUAUGCCCUUGGUGUCCAAAUGGAUAUUUUGUAUUCAGAAAGUUUUUUUUGUAGUUUUACACACACAAAAAAGUAGGUCACCAGUGGUGGGCGAGGUACUCUUCUCUCCCACCCUGUUGGGAUAACAGAGUGCCAGGGAUGGGGCUUUCUUGGGAGGUGUGCCUGUUCUGGGCUUGGGAGAAAUCAAGAAGAGGAGGAAGUAUCUAUUGCCAGGGGGAUUAGGAGCAAGGGGAGAAGAAAGCUGCUCUUGGUUGUGACGGGUGAAGUAAUGUUUUAUAGCACUGUUCAUAAAACGGAGAGCUCUGUUAAGAUGCAGGCUUCUCCUCCAUUCCUUUCCCCUAAUAACAACCCUCCCUCCCAUAAUCUGAAUCACCAUCAUUCUGGCAGAAGAUUAGACCUUGACUACCUUCAGAAUCCAUCUACAUUGCUUCUUAAUUGGACGGUAGAUUUCUCCUUUAAAAUGCAGUGAAAGCUACUGCAGUGAUAAUGUGUUUUUUGUGUGUAACCUGUUUUUGCCAUGAUGGUAAGAAUCUCCACAGAUAAGGAUACACCUAAAAAUAAUUGACCAUACCUGUAACUGCUGACUCGGGAUUUUGAACACCUUUUUCUUGCUUACUUUUCCAUUUACAGUAUGUAACAUAGAUACUACUUUUCAUAGUAUUCCUACAAUUCGUGUGAUGGUAGCUGCUACAAGAAGUUAUGUAACUCAACCACUUUGGGGGGAAAAAAAAUUGUUUUUUGAGGUGUGAAAUGCCAAAAGGUACUGGGGCAUACUGAGAAGUAAGUCUUGUAUAUAUAAAAAUAAGAGAGGCAAGUAGCCCUGCAUUAAAACUUUUUCCCCAUCGAUGAAUCUUUAAAUAACCAUGCUAAACAUUUUUGACUGACAGAAAAAUUGCAUCAGUAACCUAAAUACCAUUUUAUCUUGGUGCAACUUCAAAAGUGGAUGAAUUAAAAAUCUUUCAGUAUCAGGCUUUGUAACUUUAAACAGCGACUGGCCAGUAGCCACAAUGUGUGUAUCCCUAUUUUUUCCAUCUCCUGAUAUAGACUGACUUGUUAAGUUUUUACAUUUGAAUAAAUUAUUCAGUGCAAAAGAAUAUCAGGUGACCAGUCUUAAAAAAAAAGUUACAGGGCUGCAAUUGUUACUCUUUAAACUAGUUUAGUUUCCAAAGCGGAAUGAAUGUAAUGCUAAUUAGUUUGAUUUGAGCUAGGCGUUGAUUAUGUAAGCUUUUCUCUCUCAGCUCUAUGAUGCGCCUUUGAUAUUGCCCUGUAAAAUACCUUUGUUCCGGUCAUGGGACCCUAGAGUGCGGAUGAUCACUGCUGAAUAGUACAGGGGCUAAAUGUUUGUUUAGAUGCAAUCCAGUAUUGCAAGAAAAAUACAAGGGAAUGGUGGAGUGCUGUGUGCGGAGGGAGGAUAGUGCGGCUUCAUUAGCUAAAUUAUAAAUAUAGGGCCAAAUUCUGCUAAUUUUCCCCUGUGUAAAUUGGACUCACCCCACAGGCUUUUAAUUACCUAGGUAACUAGAAGAAUUACUGUUGUAGGCAUGAUUGUUUCUCUGCCAUAGCAAUCACGUUGCUCUUCUUAUACGGUCAAGUGCAUACACAUAAUUUUUGGAAAGUUGGACAAAUACAAUAAAACAGCAUCUGUGCAUUCCAUUUAUACUAGUCCAAGAGUAUAGAUUCACUGACAGACCUGAUGAUUGUCUUUAAUAAAACUCUAGGCUUGGGGAAUGAAAGCAUGGAUCACUUUCUCUUUAGAACAGGCUACCCUUGAACAAGCUGAUACACAUUGUCACUCUAAAAUUUGGGGAGCUUGCUGGCUGGCAGUUUACUACAUUUUUGUGAAGGGUGUUCCAUGUCCUUCAGACAUAUUUGGUAGGUGGGAUUGCACUGUAUGUUUGUAAAGAAGAUACAUUUGAGGCCCUGCUAGAUCUAUGCCCCUACUGUAGUUACCCCCUCAUUAAAUGUGUAUACCUUGAGUGUUUCAAAUUGGCAUCUCACAUAAGCACUCUAGAAUGUGCAGUAUUGAGUGUGACUGUACCUUGACAUCAGUCCAGACCACUUAUUUUGUGAGACCCAAAGAUUUCUUUGGGUAAACAGGGCUGCACAUUACUCUAGAAGCACAGACCACUUACAGCCUCUUGACUGACUGACUUCUGUUUAGAGGAAAGCUAAUGAAUUUUAUAUGCAAAAUUGGAUGAUAGGUGGCUCCAAAAUUCUUUCCACUUUGACCUUUCUGGUAUCUGGAUAUGGAAGCUUUUAAAUUAACCUCACCCCACUUUGCCAUCAUCUUUUCUGUCAUCUCUAUCAGACUAGUAAAAGUGGAAAUGAAGAUAUUUGGUCUGCCAUUUAGGGUUCAAGUAACAAUGCAGAAUACUGCAUAUGUUGGCAGGAUGGGUCUCAAUUUUGGGAAGUAAAAUCUGGAAGAAAUUAUUCCAAUAGUUAAUUGGGUGGGGUGACUUACAAGUCAAUCAAGAAAUUUCACAACUCAUCAAAUUUACAUUUAUUUAAAUAUAACUUUGCCUUUUUUUCUUCCUUCUUUUUAUUGAAAAAGACACACAAAGGAUAUUUAAGAAUUUUUGGUCCUGAAUUUUCUAUAUCUUAACAGCAGCUUACCUUAAGGUAAGGGGGGUAAUAGGCAUGAAUAGGACUCUUGCUCUUUAUUUGUAAAUAGGCUUGGCAUAAUUAAUUGUUUCCUUUUUAUAAUUUUGAUGGAUAUCAAUGUUUAUUUUUAAGCACUCUUUAUUUGUAUCUGUUUAAACUUUCACAGUUGUAGGAAAUUAUUGGGGGGGGGGCAUCAAACAAUUUAAGACAAGUUUCAAAAUGUUAAAACUUUAUCAUGGUUAAAAUACAAAUUGUUAACAUCCCAUGUCAAAAUAUAUAAAUGGAAUAUUCUUAAAU